AUCUGUUCUGUAGUUCGGACCAGUUGAGUGAUCUGUGGAGUGUUUGUUUGUUUGUAUUUAUUUUUAAUACAACUUUUCCCUUUCCUCACUGUGUUAGCAGAAUAGCCUAACUGUGAGAAGCCAUAAUCGUUUGUCUAUCCAAUGUUAUUGAUCAUUAUUAUUAAUAGAACUCAUAAUAAUGAUUAAAUUAAUAUCAUUAGUCGUAGUACUAUGAGUAGUACUAUCGAUUAUGCAGGUCCGUGUCUUCCAUCAUCAAUCAACCAGGACUAUUUAGCCUAACCCCCUUUUGAAGAGAAUUGAAGAUUAAUUUUCAGUUGGUUUUUCGAUCAUGCCAUGGCUGCAUGACCACUGCCUUUAAGCCAAUGAAAUGAAGGAAACAGUUGGUGAUUAAGUUCCUGGCCAAUCAGGAGCAAUUUCCAGUUUUGAUGCCAGAUGUGAUCAUAUUGAUCAUAUUCCAUAUGCUCAUUCUAAAUCCACUAAGAGCAAAUAUGGUCUACAUUCACUUGGAUUCCUUGGAUUCCCAGGCCCAUUCCAGCAAUCUCUUUGACAGGCUACUUGACAAAUAUGGCUGCAGGUAAACUAUUUGAUUUCAUGUCAUAUUUAUUUAUUUUUUAAGUCAAUAUCAGUAUACCAAUAAUACCAAAUUGUACUGUUAUUUAGUGCUCACUACAGCCUUCACAAAAACAGAGGACUUUUAUCGCAGUGAGGACAACAAUUGCCCUUACUGCAGUGUUGCCACAGUGGCAACCAGAGACCAUCUGAAUAAGGUCCAUUUAAAAUAUGCAGUGUGCUUCAGCGACAAUGCAGUUGGUAAGCAUAAGUCUACUAUGCCUGUUAAAUUUUGUUAAAGAUUUUUACCAAAUUCCAGUGUCAUAUCAAUCUGUGUUCUUGCCCUAAUAUGUUCAUUGUCACAUUUGUUUUCUUCUUUCCACAGACACUUUGACCAUACCAUGCCACUGUGAGGUGAAGCUGGCACAAAGGAGCCAUUGGCACUGUCCCAAGUGCCAAUCCAUCAUACAGAGAAAACAUAAUUUUGAAAAUCAUCUGAAAACACAUGGUAAGAUCACUCAAAAACACAGAAAAACAGAUAAUGUACUCUCUGCCAUCAGCAUUUUUGAUGAACACAGUUAUUUACACAGACUGGUGUAUGUAAAAGUAAUUCAUCACAUCUAUUGGCCAUACUUUUUUGUGUGCCAGUAAUUUAAAGCUGGCCUUGAAUAAGUGUACCUUGGCAUGAUGAAGCAAUGUUACUUAGUCUAAUAGUGAUGGCUGACUCACUGAAAAGGUCUCAGGUUUUUAUAUCUAUCCCAACAUAUGGUUAGGAACCUCAAGUAAUAAUGAUAAUAAUAAUAUAACUGUUACACAGUUAAUGAAAUUUGAUUUUUUCCCUCAAUGGACAGGGUUGAUUCUUCAGAGUAAGACACUCCUCCCAAGUAUGUAUUAACAUGAGAAAAAAACUAUAUUUGAAUUGAUACAGUUGCCUCAAAGGCCUAGCAACUUUGUUCAAUAUAAGUCUUAGAGAAGCAAGUGUCUGCACAGUGGAUUGUAUUUAUAUUGUUUGACUGUACUACAGUAUGCCAUGACAUAAUAUGCU
ensembl:lncRNA